CCUAUCAACCAUGGCAAGGCAUUGCACGGGUUUGUAUUCUGGAGCUGUCUGACCUGCUCCCUUAACAGUUGCAUACGUCAAACUAUACUUGUUCUUCGAAUACGUAGUUACGUAACCUGCAACUUGACCAUCAACGAACCAUGGACGCCACUCAUCUUCUAUAGUCAAAUUUAGAGAUUUUAUCCAUUCUUGUGUACCCACGUAUGGCACCGCCAUGUCCAUAUCACCACUGUAAAUCAAAGCCUGAUAGCCUUUCUUGGUAAGGUUUUUUUGAUACAAAACAGUGGAUUUGAUUUCUUGUACAUAGUAGGUAUCUCUUAAGCUUGAAUUGCAUCUUUGCCAAUCCUUUACAGUUCCCUCUCGAACAUGGAGAGCAGCUUGGGCAUUUUUGUCAUUAGCCCAAAUAUAAGAGAGCACGUAGUUGUCAAUCCGACACCAGGAUUCUGAAAUUUUCCUGAUUGAAAUGAGGAGAUGAAUGAAAUUAUUUUCCAGAAGAGAGGUUGCAAUAUUCCAAGCUGAUAUGUUUGGUUUUGGAGAUAUAUAUGUAGCACAAUCUGGCUCCAAUAUGUUGGGUGAAUAUAUUUUAUCAAGGCACUAUGAGAUGAGAAAUCUUUAGUGAUUAACUAUUCUUGAUAUCAAUGUAAAUAAAUUAACAAUAUAUACGUAAAGAUAAGAUUUGGUCUUAAGAAAAAAAGAGUUAGGAAUCCUUCUCACAUAUUUGACAGCUUCGAGAUCAGCAACACAGGCUGCAUUGCUUGGAUCUGGAGAUGUAUAAUACUCUCCUUUGCAAUCCCUUACAGUGGACUCAUAGAGUUCAUCCGAUAAAAGAGCAUUCCUAUGAGCAAAUGUAAGUCUUGCGUUGAUAUCAAUGUUUUCAUCAGUAAAUGGAUUGCCUAAAAAGAACCCCUUAAUAUUAUUAAGUGGCUUAUCUCCAGCUUCAAUACCAUUAGAUAUACGUUGAACGAGCAUGGGAACAGUAAUGCCUGAAUAAGAAUCACCGCCAAUAUAGAGUGGAUGAAACACAAACUUUGGGUGACCCAUAAGCCACUUUCUUAGAAAUUCAUAAGUUUGUGCUACUGAGGAUAGAUCACCAGUUUUAUAUCCCUCUGAAGUUGUUGCAUAGGAGAAUCCAGUGCCAACCGGAGCAUCCAAAAAUAUUAUAUUUGCAACCUUGGUCCAUGAGUAUGGAUUCAAGGUCAACGUUGGCAGUGUCUCCCAACUAAAGUUCGAAUAAUUGAAAGUUAUUGGACCGAUUUCAUAAAAAAUGGCAGAUAAAGCAGAGCAG
rnacentral:misc_RNA from 1 species